GCCCCCUGGAGGCGUACACGGGAUCCCGACCAGUCCUGACCGCACGGGUGGCGCGGCCACGGGGAGCAGGGGCCAUGGUGCGCGGCAGGAUCUCCCGGCUCUCGGUCCGGGACGUGCGCUUCCCCACGUCGCUUGGGGGCCACGGCUCGGACGCCAUGCACACAGACCCUGACUACUCAGCUGCCUAUGUCGUCAUAGAAACUGAUGCAGAAGAUGGAAUCAAGGGGUGUGGAAUUACCUUCACUCUGGGAAAAGGCACUGAAGUAGUUGUCUGUGCUGUGAAUGCCCUUGCCCACCAUGUGCUCAACAAGGACCUCAAGGACAUUGUUGGUGACUUCAGAGGCUUCUAUAGGCAGCUCACAAGUGAUGGGCAGCUCAGAUGGAUUGGUCCAGAGAAGGGCGUGGUGCACCUGGCGACAGCGGCCGUCCUAAACGCGGUGUGGGACUUGUGGGCCAAGCAGGAGGGAAAGCCUGUCUGGAAGUUACUUGUGGACAUGGAUCCCAGGACGCUGGUAUCCUGCAUAGAUUUCAGGUACAUCACCGAUGUCCUGACUGAGGAGGAUGCCCUAGAAAUACUGCAGAAAGGUCAAGUUGGUAAAAAAGAAAGAGAGAAGCAAAUGCUGGCACAAGGCUACCCUGCUUACACGACAUCGUGCGCCUGGCUGGGGUACUCAGAUGACACGUUGAAGCAGCUCUGUGCCCAGGCGCUGAAGGAUGGCUGGACCAGGUUUAAAGUAAAGGUGGGUGCUGAUCUCCAGGAUGACGUGCGAAGAUGCCAAAUCAUCCGAGACAUGAUUGGACUGGAGAAGACUUUGAUGAUGGAUGCCAACCAGCGCUGGGAUGUGCCUGAGGCGGUGGAGUGGAUGUCCAAGCUGGCCAAGUUCAAGCCAUUGUGGAUUGAGGAGCCAACCUCCCCUGAUGACAUUCUGGGGCACGCCACCAUUUCCAAGGCACUGGUCCCAUUAGGAAUUGGCAUUGCCACAGGAGAACAGUGCCACAAUAGAGUGAUAUUUAAGCAACUCCUACAGGCGAAGGCCCUGCAGUUCCUCCAGAUUGACAGUUGCAGACUGGGCAGUGUCAAUGAGAACCUCUCAGUAUUGCUGAUGGCCAAAAAGUUUGAAAUUCCUGUUUGCCCCCAUGCUGGUGGAGUUGGCCUCUGUGAACUGGUGCAGCACCUGAUUAUAUUUGACUACAUAUCAGUCUCUGCAAGCCUUGAAAACAGGAUGUGUGAGUAUGUUGACCACCUGCACGAGCAUUUCAAGUAUCCCGUGAUGAUCCAGCGGGCUUCCUACAUGCCUCCCAAGGAUCCCGGCUACUCAACAGAAAUGAAGGAGGAAUCUGUAAAGAAACACCAGUAUCCAGAUGGUGAAGUUUGGAAGAAACUCCUUGCUGCUCAAGAAAAUUAAGUGCUCAGCCCCAACAUCUUUUUUCUUUGUGAAGUGAAAAGGCUUAAAAUUUCUUGGAAACAGUUUUACAAAAAUGGAUUUAAAAAAAUCCUGUGGAUCAAGAUUAGUUCAGCUAAAAGUCAUACCACCCUCAGGAAUCAGCUAAAGCAAAAAGAACUUUUACCUCGGCAUCCAGCCCAACCCCUAAAGACUGACAAUAUCCUUCGAGCUCCUUUGAAAGCACCCUAAACAGCCAUUUCCAUUUUAAUAGUUGGAUGUGGAUUGUACCCUUCAAUCUGAAAGUCUUCAGCUUUGAAGUCAUCAAUUUUCUCAACUUUUCGAAGAAUCUUGAGCUUUGGGAAAGGUCUGGGUUCUCGCUGAAGCUAAAAACAAAAUAAGACCAUUAUUUUGCCAUAAUUGUACAACCUGUUGUAAUUGCUCCUCACAUCCAUGAAACAAGUACACAGGAUGUGAUCAACAAAGUUUUAUUUUACAGGAGUAUGAUCCUGUCGAUACCUUGCCGUAGGUUAUGUAACAUGAUUGGAGCGCAACGAGCUGCUUUCUUGCACAGAUCAAGAGUGAAGGGUAUUUUGUGACAUUACACAGUGUCAGGAGCCUGGUGCCUCAUCAGGUGUAAGUUCUUAUAAUCACUCUUGGCAAAUUUAUUAAAGAUAGGAACACAGUCAAUCUGUAACUCAUGGUAGCUCUACGUUUACUUGAAUUCCACAAUCCCUAAGCCAUCUAUCCCUGGCAGGAAGAAGGAAAGAUGACAUGCAUGGACAGUGAACAGAAAGAGAUGAAAGCCAGGAUUCCUGGGAUGAACAGACAGUGGCAAUUAGGAUGUGAAGACAGGUCACAACCUAUUACUAUGUCUAAAAACGACUGGAGCAGAGAGCCAGAGAGAAUAAGCCUGAAGUCACCUCCACUCAGGAGCAGCCAAACUCCCUCAAAGGAGUAACUUUUAAAACCUGGAUCUAACCUGGAAGGGGCUAAAAAGUUUCCGAUUCUGAAUUUUUUUCCUUAAGGCUCAUGAAGCAGAUGAACUUACAUUUUUAUUGCCAUUUCAAAUCAAUUGUUGGCUGCUAUAACUUAGGGAUUUCAACAGACUUUUGAAGUUUGGACCUAAAUAUUGUACUUAAUGUAAAAUUAACAAAAAAUAUUUAUGGUCAGGGCGGUGGCUUAUGCCUGUAAUUCCAGAACUUUCGGAGGCUGAGGCAGGCGGAUCACCUGAAGUCAGGAGUUUGAGACCAGCCUGGCCAACAUGACGAAAUCCCAUCUCUACUAAUAAUACAAAAAUUAGCUGGGUGUGGUGGCAUGUGCCUGUAAUCCCAGCUACAUGGGAGGCUGAGGCAGAAGAAUUGCUUGAACCCGGGAGGCGGAGGUUGCAGUGAGCUGAGAUCGUACCACUGCACACUCCAGCCUGGCCAACAGAGAAAGACUCCGUCUCAAAAAAAAAAAAGGAAAAA